GGGCCCGCACAAGCGGUGGAGCAUGUGGUUUAAUUCGACGCAACGCGCAGAACCUUACCAGCCCUUGACAUGUCCGGGACCGGUCGCAGAGACGUGACCUUCUCUUCGGAGCCCGGAACACAGGUGCUGCAUGGCUGUCGUCAGCUCGUGUCGUGAGAUGUUGGGUUAAGUCCCGCAACGAGCGCAACCCCCGUCCUUAGUUGCUACCAUUUAGUUGAGCACUCUAAGGAGACUGCCGGUGAUAAGCCGCGAGGAAGGUGGGGAUGACGUCAAGUCCUCAUGGCCCUUACGGGCUGGGCUACACACGUGCUACAAUGGCGGUGACAAUGGGAUGCGAAGACGCAAGUCCUAGCAAAUCUCAAAAAGCCGUCUCAGUUCGGAUUGGGCUCUGCAACUCGAGCCCAUGAAGUUGGAAUCGCUAGUAAUCGUGGAUCAGCACGCCACGGUGAAUACGUUCCCGGGCCUU
rnacentral:rRNA from 1 species